CCUACGGGAGGCUGCAGUGGGGAAUCUUGCGCAAUGGGCGGAAGCCUGACGCAGCAACGCCGCGUGAACGAAGAAGGCCUUCGGGUUGUAAAGUUCUGUCAGGGGGGACGAAGAGGUGACGGUACCCCCAGAGGAAGCCCCGGCUAACUACGUGCCAGCAGCCGCGGUAACACGUAGGGGGCGAGCGUUGUCCGGAAUUACUGGGCGUAAAGGGCGUGUAGGCGGCCGAUCAAGUCAGGUGUGAAAAAUCAGGGCUUAACCCUGAUCGUGCACUUGAAACUGGUUGGCUUGAGUGCAGGAGAGGAAAGUGGAAUUCCCAGUGUAGCGGUGAAAUGCGUAGAUAUUGGGAGGAACACCAGUGGCGAAGGCGACUUUCUGGACUGCAACUGACGCUGAGGCGCGAAAGCUAGGGGAGCAAACAGGAUUAGAUACCCUUGUAGUC
rnacentral:rRNA from 1 species